AGGUUCGAUUCUGGCUCAGGAUGAACGCUAGCUACAGGCUUAACACAUGCAAGUCGAGGGGCAGCAUGGGAGUUGCUUGCAAUCCUGAUGGCGACCGGCGCACGGGUGAGUAACGCGUAUCCAACCUUCCCCUUAGUAGGGCAUAGCCCGGUGAAAAUCGGAUUAAUACCCUAUGUUCUUCACAGCAGACAUCUAACGUGAAGCAAAGGUUCACCGCUAAGGGAUGGGGAUGCGUCUGAUUAGGCAGUAGGCGGGGUAACGGCCCACCUAGCCUUCGAUCAGUAGGGGUUCUGAGAGGAAGGUCCCCCACAUUGGAACUGAGACACGGUCCAAACUCCUACGGGAGGCAGCAGUGAGGAAUAUUGGUCAAUGGGCGAGAGCCUGAACCAGCCAAGUAGCGUGCAAGGAUGACGGCCCUAUGGGUUGUAAACUGCUUUUAUAUGGGGAUAAAGUUCACCACGUGUGGUGUUUUGCAGGUACCAUAUGAAUAAGGACCGGCUAAUUCCGUGCCAGCAGCAGC
rnacentral:rRNA from 1 species